rnacentral:lncRNA from 1 species
AAGUUGCAACUUCUUUUCCGGAAGCCAAUCUCCAAAGAACUCCAGGGUUAAGCGUGCUUGGCCUGGAGCAAUUUGGGAUGGGUGACCGACCGGGAAAUUCUUCCCGGGUGCACACGAGUGAGGACAAAGUGUGUAGAAAAGACAUGUGUUGGUCUGUGAGGGCAGUCUAUGACCUAUGAAAGCUAUCAUAUGUAAGCGGGCCCGGCCUGGGGGAAGGCGGGACGUUACAAAGUGGUAUCAGAGCCGACUCUCGCGGUUUCACGGGCGCGUGUGUCGCAGUUGCGCAGGCAUGGUGCGCAUGGCUGGUGUAGACCGAGAGUGGUUACACAGCAUGGCACAUGCGCUGGCACUGGACACAUGGACGUGGCCAAGAAAGGACGUUCCUGGCCUAGGGUUGAUCGACGGGGGCGUCGAUCUCUCUUAAGGGGGUGAGGGUGUAACAUCCCGGCCUAGGGCUUAAUAGGAUUAAUAGAAUACUCAUAUCAACAAGUUGCAACUUCUUUUCCGGAAGCCAAUCUCCAAAGAACUCCAGGGUUAAGCGUGCUUGGCCUGGAGCAAUUUGGGAUGGGUGACCGUGCUUGGUCUGUGAGGGCAGUCUAUGACCUAUGAAAGCUAUCAUAUAUAAGCGGGACAUGUGUUGGUCUGUGCCAGGGUUGAUCGACGGGGG